rnacentral:lncRNA from 10 species
UUCUCUCACCAGUGAUGCUAAAAGGGAAACUUCAUAUAAAGGAGAAUAUAUUUGUGAAACGCAUAUAAAGGAUUGUAUCCAGACUAUAUAAAGGUCUCUUAAAACUUUAAUAAAAUAAUAAAACAAUUCAGUUUUAAAACAGGCAAUAUCCAGGCGAGGUAGAAAAAAGAAAAAAAAUUAAUAAAUGUGAGAACAUACAUUUCAUCAAGAAGGUAUAGAUGAACAAGCACAUGAAAAGCUGCUCAGCAUAAUUGGUCAUUAGAGAAAUGCAAAUUACAAAAGAAUGCUGCAUACCUAUCAGAAUAGCUAAAACUUUUUUUUUUUUUUUUUUUGGUGGGGAAAGGGGGUGUUUUGUUUUGUUUUUGAGACGGAGUAUAUCUCUGUCACCCAGGCUGGAGUGCAGUGGCACAAUCUCGGCUCACUGCAACCUCUGCCUCCCCAGUUCAAGCGAUUCUCCUGCCCCAGCCUCCCAAGUAGCUGGGAUCACAGGCGUUCUUCACCACACCCAGCUGACUUUUGUAUUUUUAGUUGAGAUGGGUUUUUUUUCCAUCUUGGCCAGGCUGGUCUCGAACUCCUGGCCUCGGGUGAUCCGCCCACCUCAGCUUCCCAAAGUGCUGGGAUUAUAGGCGUGAGCCACUGCCCCCGGCCAGAAUAGCUAAAACUUUAGAAACCUGACAGUGUCAAGUGCUACCGAGCAUGCAGAGCAACCAGAACGCACACAUGGUUCAUGGAAUGCCAAAGGAUACCGGUUCUUUGGAAAACAGUUUGGCAGUUUAUUGUAAAGUUAAACACACUACCAUACGCAACCCAGCAAUCCCAUUCCUAGAAGCUUACCCAGGAGAAAUGAAGACAUAUAUGCACACACAAAAGCCUGUAUAGAAGGAUUUAUAGCAGUUUUAUUUAUUUAUUUAUUUAUUUAUUUAUUUAUUUUUGAUACGGAGUUUCGCUCUUGUCACCCAGGCUGGAGUGCAGUGGCACAAUCUCAGCUUACUGCAACCUCCACCUCCCGGGUUCGAGUGAUUCUCCAGAUUUGCCCCCAGAGUAGUUGGGAUUACAGACAUGCGCCACCACAACCAGCUAAUUUUUUUUUUUUUUUUUUUUUUUUUUUUGAGACGGAGUCUCACUCUGCCACUCGGGCUGGAGUGCAGUGGCGCAAUCUCAGCUCACGGCAGCCUCUGCCUCCCAGGUUCAAGCAAUUCUCUGCCUCAGCCUCCCGAGUAGCUGGGAUUACAGGUGCCCACCGCCACACCUGGCUAAUGUUUUGUUUUGUUUUUCUGAGACGGAGUUUCGCUCUUGUUGCCCAAGCUGGAGUGCAAUGGUGCGAUCUUGGCUCAACACAACCUCUGUCUCCCGGGCUCAAGCAAUUCUCCUGCCUCAGCCUCCUGAGUAGCCGGGAUUACAGGCAUGCGCCACCACGCCUGGCUAGUUUUGUACUUUUAGUAGAGACAGGGUUUCUCCGUGUUAGGCUGGUGUCAAGCUCCCAACCUCAGGUGAUCCGCCCACUUUGGCCUCCCAAAGUGCUGGGAUUACGGGUGUGAGCCACUGCGCCUGGCCAUUUUUUUGUAUUUUUAGUAGAGAUGGGGGUUUCAUCAAGUUGGCCAGGCUGGUCUUGAACUCCUGACCUCGUGAUCCACCUGCCUCGGCCUCCCAAAGUGCUGGGAUUACAGGCGUGAGCCACUGCUCCUGGCUUAUAGCAGCUUUAAUUCUAAUCACCAAAAACAGAAAACCAUCCAAAUGUCCACCAACUUGUAACUAGAGAAAGCAAACUGUGGUAUAGUCAUACAAUGGAAUGGUUUAAAGAAACCAGACUCUUAGUGGUAUGUACUGUAUGCUUCCGUGUAUGUGGCAUUCUGGAAAAGGCAAAACCAGAGGGAUAAAAACACAGGACAGUAUUUGCCUGAGGUUGACUACAAAGAAAGACAAGGGAACUUCACAGGUAAUGGAAAUCCUGAUAGUGGUGGCAGCUACAUGACACUGCGUGUGUUAAAACUUGCACAUUGUGAGUUUUACUGCAUAAAAGUGUUAACUAAAAGAGUGUCUGGGUACGGUGGCUCAGGCCUAUAAUCCCAGCACUUUGGGAGGCCGAGUCAGGAGGAUCACCAGAGGUCAGGAGUUCGAGACCAGCCUGGCCGACAUGGCAAAACCCUGUCUCUACUAAAAAUACAAAAAUUAGCCAGGUGUGGUGACACGCACAUGUAAUCCCGGCUACUUGGGAGGUUGAGGCAGGAGAAUCACUUGAACAUGGGAGGCAGAGACUGCAUUGAGCCAAGAUGGUGCCACUGCACUCCAGCCUGGGUGACAGAGACUCCAUCUCAAAAAAAAAAGAGGUUGAGGGAAAUAGCUUUUAUUUGGGAAAUAAAGAUUUGCAAUUUGUGUACACUGAAGCAAGGCAGUCCUGAAUAGUAGACUGUAAGGCAAGCUCAGUAGAGGAUUUUUAUAGGGAGUUUCCACAAAACGCUGUUUUCAGAGGCAUUUCAUUGGGCUGGGCAGAAAUCCUAAAUGGCAAACCUGUUCCGAUUGGUUAGUUAACUAGGCUAUUCCCAGCUGAGAGUUGUUGACAGCCGCGAAUGCUGACUGCAGUUGUUUAUCCAAGUCUAUUGGAACAUUCUGUGGUUUGACCUUCAGCAGGUGUGAGUGCAGUCCUCGGUGCUUAUUUUCUUUCACAAAAGUAUAUCUCGGUAAAACUGACUCUAGAAAAUUAAAUAGGAUGGAAACUGGAAAUGAAUGUCGAUGAACAGGGACAGGUUAAAUAAAGUAUGACUUGUCUGUAUCAUGGAAUGUCUGCAACAGUUAAAAAGGCACAUCAGUGUAUCUGACAGGGAAAGAGUUCCACAUGCUUAAGUGUAAAAAGUUUCAAAACAAUGUUAACAGUAAGCCCACCCCCUUUAAAUUGAUAAAAAUGAAACAAUAUCUAUUGCUACAUGAGCUUAUACAUAUACACACACACAGGAAACAGGAAACAUACCAAACUCUUUAACAGUGCCACCUCUGGGGAGGAGACUAGAAUAGGAAGCAAGACAAGGGGAAUUUUCUUUGUGUGUAUAUUUUUACAAUGAGAAUACAUAUGUUAAUGAUUUGGGGUAUUUUCAUAUAUAUAUAUGAAAAAUAUAUAUGAAGAGAAUGCCUUUUAUAAGGUAAACUAAAGGCCUCUCCAAGAAAUACAUAAUGCUGUAUUUGUGCCCCAUUGGACUUUUGGGUUCAAGCACACCUGAAAUUCUGACAUGAAGGAGGAACCAUUCCCCAGAGGACUAAAGGUGGGAGAGAGGAUAGAUGUGAUUGGACAGACAUGUAUUGAAUUUCACACACCUGUGUCCUCCACAACCCAGGAGUCUGCAGGUGGCUUCAGUCAGGGAAAGCGGGGAGAGAAGUGGGUUGGGAUCUGUUUACAGAGUUGGAGGCCUUGCAGGUUCUGCUGGGAUCAACAGAAGUAAGUUCCAUCUCAAAAUGGAAGAAAGUGCCUGGUCCGUACAGUGAUGGAGGCUGUGAAUUAAGUCAACUGGAAGAGGAUCCACGCAUGGAGUGAGGCAUAUGUAUGCCUAUGGCAAAUUUGGGAAAUGAGUGUCACCGAAGAAGGAGAAGCCAUUUCUGCUUUGAUGAUUCACCAAAUGUUUGAGAAAGCAAUUUUGAGUAACUUUCCUACUGAAGGAGGGAAGGUAAGAGAUACACUGGUUUAAAAGCAGGGAAGGCCGGGCGCUGUGGCUCACGCCUGUAAUCCCAGCACUUUGGGAGGCUGAGGUGGGCAGAUCACUUGAGGUCAGGAGAUCGAGACCAUCCUGGCUAAUACAGUGAAACCCAGUCUCUACUAAAAAUAGGAAAAAAUUAGCCGGGCGUGGUGGCAGGUGCUUGUAAUCCUAGCUAUUUGGGAGGCUGAGAGAAUUGCUUUAACCCAGGAGGCAGGGGUUGCAGUGAACCGAGAUCGUGCCACUGCACUCCAGCCUGGGUGACAGAGCGAGACUCCGUCUCAAAAAAUAAUAAUAAAAGCAGAGAAAACCAAGGUAAGUUCUUGACCAUGCCAUGGCCCAAAUGAAAAAAAUUAAGGCUAGAAUUCAAGUCCGCUUGAGCCAAAGCUUUUGCUAAAUUACUAGCCCCACAAUGUCUCCUUUCUUCUUUCUGAUGGAGUCAUGGAUCUGAAAGGAGGGUGGGUGCCCGCUUCCCUCCCCAUGCUGCACUGUUGGCAUGGCUCAGCCACCUCGGCCCAGGGCCUUACGCAUGGAAAACAGCAGCGCCAACAUCUGCUAGAGGCUUUUCUGUUCAAGCACAGCUUAUGGAGGUAGUGAAUCCUUAUUACUCACCAACCUUCCUAUCCACUUCAAAAAUAAAACUCUUAAUCACCUUGAGACAGCAUCAGCAAGUGAAACCUUAACAACGUGAAGCACUCAGCUUUGAGAUCACAUUCUGUUACCCACCUACACAAAGAUUCAUCCCAAGCUCCAUAAACCUUAGCCUGCAAGCUAAAUAAAUUGAACCUCGACAUGUUGAUUUCUCAAGCUGGAUUUAACUGAUGUUGCACAUGGAUACCAAGUAAUCUGUUGGGCUCAAUUGGUUGAUUGCCACAUGAAAAAAAACAAAAAACAAUGUGUCAAUCAAGACUAGGGCAUCACAUGCACUAGAAAAGAAGCCAGGAAGUGAGAGCUGGGGUUGCACACUGUGCAGCACAUGUGAUAUUUAUUUUUGCUGGGUGUUUUUAAACAGCUGUUGUCAUCAGUAACUGGGGAUGGAGAAACUUGUCCUGGUUUGGGUAAAGUGGUUGAGGUGAGUCUGGUAUCUUUGUACUGGGUACAAAGAAAAGGGUAUCUUUGUACUGGGCGGGAGAUUGGUGAAAAUGAUCUUUAAUGUUGCUGUGGUUUGAAGAUCCUGUCAGCCUCGCCCAGCUCAAGACUGGUGAGGGGUUUGCUGUAUUGUUCUUCUCACCCAGAGACUCUGGACAUGGCAGAGGCCCAGCUACAACACCCACACUGAAUUUUACACAUGGACAUCCCACUGUGGACAGGAGGCAGGCACCAGACAGGCAUGCAUGUUCUCAGAAAAGACCAUUCCCUGCAUGGCUUCACAACAGUCUCACCUCCCCCCUGCUGCAGGCCCACCUGCUUCUACACACACUUUUGCAUGCACCCAAAAAUGCUUGUCUUUAUCACUUAAUCCUUACUCAGUUCCCUCCUACUCAAGGCCCUUUCAGUUGUAAGAAAGAGAAGUUUAUUCACACCUGGGCAUGGUGCCUCAUGCCUAUAAUCCCAGCAUUUUGGGA